rnacentral:rRNA from 1 species
UACAGAGGGUGCAAGCGUUGUUCGGAAUUAUUGGGCGUAAAGCGCGUGUAGGCGGCUUUGCAAGUCGGGUGUGAAAGCCCUCGGCUUAACCGAGGAAGUGCAUUCGAAACUGACGGUCUUGAGUAUGGAAGAGGGUCGCGGAAUUCCCGGUGUAGAGGUGAAAUUCGUAGAUAUCGGGAGGAACACCAGUGGCGAAGGCGGCGACCUGGGCCAAUACUGACGCUGAGACGCGAAAGCGUGGGGAGCAAACAGG